rnacentral:sRNA from 1 species
GCUGGGCACAGUGGUGCAUGCCUGUAAUCCCAGUGGCUUGGGAGGCUGAGACAGGAGGAUAGCAAGUUCAAAGCCAGCCUCAGCAAAAGUGAGGCCCUAAGCAACUCAGUGAGACCAUGUUUCUA